GGUCUGGCUGGCCGGUCCGCCUCACCGCGUGUACUGGUCCGGCCGGGCCUUUCCUUCUGGAGAGCCCCAUGCCCUUCACUGGGUGUGCGGGGGAACCAGGACUUUUACUUUGAAAAAAUUAGAGUGUUCAAAGCAGGCCUUUGCUCGAAUACGUUAGCAUGGAAUAAUAGAAUAGGACGU
rnacentral:rRNA from 1 species